UUCCUUUUCACGUUAUCACUAAGACACUAACACGUGUGGGGCCGGGCAAACAGAGUCAUCUCCUCCACGUACGGGGAAAGCGCGGCGAAUCCCAACAACCUCUCCCAAAAGAUCUCCAGUUGGUCGAGCCCCUGCCCUAUAUUAGCAAGCCAAACUCUGGGCGCCCUCCCUCGUCCAUCCUGUACCACCACCGUCGUGAUCGGAGCACGAAACCAAGCCGAGCGAACACCAGUCAUCAAGCGGGCGAGUCGUCGUGAAAGAGAGAGGCGCCGCCGUGGGUGGGAUCGCCGAUUCGUUGAUGUUGGGAAUCCCGGUGCGAGCCUGGGAGCGUCAAGAAAGGCUUGAGGAAUCUGCAGGGCGUGUCGUCGCGCGGGGAGAUUGUCCUGACCCCGGGAAAUUCCUCUCCGGGGAUCGGUAUCGCGGCUUAGCCGCCGUGUGCCGGCGAUGCGAGUCUGCGCUUCAUGGCUGUCGGUGAGGACCUCCCUGCCUUGAUCGCCAACUCUCUGAAUAAAGUUGUGUUAGUAGUAUCGUUAGUGGUGCGUCAGGGCGGCCAAUCGGAGUUCCCGGCAAUAGCGCCAUCGUGAGGGGCGAGGCGGCAAUGCCAGACAUCGUUGUGUUGGGUAGUGAUGGCCAGGGUUCGUCCAAUCUGUGUUGGACAGUAUGGAUUGCACGAUUGAAUCUUAUGGUUUAAAAUCCUAUCCGUAGAUCCAGAGAUCAUUGGCUUAGGUCAUAUACCCCUUCUGCCUAGGGUUUUUUUUUUUGCAAAAGAGACCUCCAAUAUUUUUAUAAUAAACCCACCAUCCCCUUUACGUUAAAAGUAACUAAAAAGAGUCUAAGUAUUUAUGAAUAGCACCCUUUUAUAUAAAUAGUGCCCGCAGUCCAAUAAAGCCCAGGAAAUUAUAAAUUAAAUCUAAAAAUGAUUCUUAGUAUAAAAAAAUUAUAAAAUCUUAGAAAAAUCAUAUCUUCCGCGAUUUAGCUCCGUUUUAGUCCGUUCAAACUGUGUUGGCUCAGUAAUAAAAUUACCUACGUUGUAACAACAUUAUAUUUAUCAUAUCAUACAUUUUUAUUGUUAGAUAUUUAUUUAUCCAAUGUUUAGUAGAUUAAAUCUAGCUAAUCAAAGUUAAUAUGUCUAUGGUUAUAGUCUAACUGAAAUAUAAUCUAUAAUCAAGUCAUAGCUUAGAUUGAAAUUGAAUUAGUUAUUUCUUUAAUAUCUUUAUCACAUGAUUUAUAAAAUCAACAUAAGACCUAGAUUUAAUUGGUUAAUCACGUAGGUCUUCCAGAAACCAUAUCUUUUUAAUCAAAACUCUGAAUUUAGUAGUUCUCGAACCUACAGUUUCGUAACGAUGCGUAGAAUACUUUUACGCAGUUUGUUCAUAUGCUUUAGUGUAAUGUUACCAUACCCAUUAUUUGCUUUAUUGUAUGUAUUUCUACGCAUAGAAGUGUGGUGGCGAGAAAUCUGAAGACCCACUUGGUGAAGCACCUGGAAUCGCAAGUAUAAGGCAAGCUAUGCCCUUGAUCACUCUUCUUUAACUAAUAUUGUUCCUAUUAAUCGCUGUGACAUGCUCAGGUUAACUUGAUUGGAGGCUCGAUCUAGGAAGAAGCUAUAAGGCAGAAUAAUCGAUGUCGAUUAGAGGCUAGAAUCGGCACUAAAGUUAAGAAUUUAGUACCAGUUGGUUGAUAGAACAUAUACUUAAUAUAGUAGUACCGAUUUAUGUAUGAAACUAUUAUUAAAUCCUUAACUUUAGUACCGGUUCUAAACACCAAUGGUACUAAACCCAAUGGCAGGUGCAACCGGUAAUGAACCUUCCAUUAAUUUUUGUGCCUUCCAUUAAUUUUUAUACCGGUUUUUGGCUACAACCCAUACUAUUCUUGCCAUGGCCGUAGACAGCCUCCAUGAGUCCAUGGGUUUAAUUCUU
rnacentral:lncRNA from 1 species